UUUUUUUUUGGGGGGGGGGGUUUAACGUUGCUGUUCUGUAUGCCUCCAAUCCACGUGGUGGCGAUACAGCAGACAAAAGUGACCGGAAGCCGUUAAGUGAGCAUAAAAUCGAAGCAUCUGAGGCACACGUUGUUCAGUUGUGCUCAUGACGUGGAGCUGGAUUGCCACAGAAAACUAAUGGAAUCUUCAGUCUGUGGACCCACCAGGUUUGGGCACCUCAGGGGCUGGUCCUGCGUUGCUAGAUGUGGGCUGCAAUGCAUGAAGGUUCCCAGGUGAAUUGGUCAGAGGAAGUGUUCCAAAUCGUUCUUUUGGACCAUAGUUUUGGCUGGGAUGUGGAGGUCCGUUGACCACCGGGUUUUCUGGCCUGUGGCACACGUUCCAUGAUGGCCGCGAAGGUUGCAUUCACGUUCUGUGGCCCCCUGUUCCGCUACAUUGGGUGAAGAACCUCUUUUGGUGGAAAUAGACGGGCAGUUAGGCCGUCAUUGUUCAGAUGGGGAUGUUUUCCAUCCAUUUUGGUACACUUACAAUCCUUUUGAAGAGAAUUGAAGAUUAAUGGCAAUAAAGUCAUAAUGUUCACUAUCUCCAAAGUGUCUCAUUCCUUUGUUCAUGCAUACAAAUUAAUGUAGGUAGGCAUGCUCAAUUGACUCUUUGCUCCAUGUUAAUCCUCAACUGCUUUCAUGAAGGGAAUCCAAACAUGUAUUAAAACUGUCACUGUCUUUAUUAUAAUUUCUCUUUAAACACUUUAUAUGCAUAUUUAUAGGAGUGUGUGUAUAUGUGGGUCACAUAUACAUAAUGUAUAUAAGUAGUAAAUUAUCUUUCCACAGUUCAUAAUUGUUUACAAAAAAAAAAUCUCUUAGAUGAACAAAAAUUGCUUUCUAUGCAGUUGAGCCAAAUGUUUAUUGAUGGACAUGACCUGUCUGAAACAAGUAGGAUGUUUUUGCAUAAAAAUAAAACCAAGCUGGUCAACAACAACAAAAGUAAAUAAAAUAGAGGGCUCAAAACUGGAUAGAAAGCAGCGGCGUUUAUCUUUUCAUUUGGAAGACGAGAUUCUGUAUAGAACUUAAAAGCACACCUUAAUUCGUCCUUAUUGUUAUUCACAAUCAUCACGAGAUGACCAAUCACAGCAUAUUACACUAUUACCAUGAAACCCCAAAUUAAAUGUAAAUGUUUGUGUGAGAGAGAGCCCUUUUUUCAAGUUUCUCAAUUUCUUUUAGUGCUGCAUCAUUAGAAUUUUAGCAUCUUAGCACUAUGUGAGCAUGUUAGCGUCCCAGCACUGAACCUUGACUUCCAAAAAUGAGAUUAACUGUAGCAAAAAAAAUAUAUACGUAUGAAAUGUGCUCAAAUGCAAAAAUACUUUGUCUGGUACUCAAAGCAUGGGAAUAACAGUAAGGACGAAAAAAUGAAAUCAUCUUGCUCCUGAUGUCCGCUGACCCGGUAAAAAGUUGUACAGAGAAUCCAAAUACUGUAGUAAAACGAGUUCCCCGGGAUGGGAAGAAAGUGGGACAUGGCAGUUUGUAUGCAGGAAGUGGCUUUGCCAGACAGGAAGUCCUCAAAUGUCCUUGUGUAUUUUAAAGAAACUCGUUAUACCUGUAUAUCUCCAAUAAAGGUGUGUUUGUGCAUGAAUGGAAAGCUGUUUGGGCAUUUAUUAGACAUACUCGUGCCCUGAUUUAUCCAUGCACUACUUUCCCCCCUUUUUUUUUUGUCCUCACUCGUACGACAAUUCAGUGCUUAGUCUAGUAAAACAACGGGCACAUUUAUAGAGCUCGUGCACAUGACGUCACCGAUUUCAUUGCGCCAUAUUGCAAGUCAAACAACUGCUCGACAUUGUGGGAGACAUUGAACGGGAGCAGAAUAUUCACAAUGCCUGACACCUCUUGUAUUGUCGGUUGUCACAACAAACGAGACAGAUCUUUAAAUAGAUCAUUGUAUGGAAUACCAGUUGAAAAGACCAACAGAUUUCAGCAAUUAAAGGUCACUCAUUUCAGGCACAUGGAGAACACAACAGUGGCUUUCCUCACAGACAUUUUGGAGAGACGGACAAACAGACCAUCACAGUACUCCCCCAGCAGCAUACCGUGCGGGGGCCCGUGAGGUGUGGCAUAGUGGCCCCGCUCGUAGGCCAGAACCAGUCCGGAUGCCGCCAGACCAGCCUGGUCUGCGUAGUUUGGCUAAAAGAGCACAAAGUAUUUCAGUUAAUA